GCAUCUUGUUCUUAACUCAUAGCGUGGCAGCACUCACCCCUUGACAAGUAAGGUUGCCUGGCACUAAACAGGGUAAAAUAAUAAAGAAGGGUGCAUCAGGGCACUUAAAUGGUUAAAUCGUGAGGAUGCUCAGCUAAAUGUUUUCCAGUUUCUUCAAUAUAAAGCAUAUUACAUUUAUGGCAAGAAAUAUGGUAAAUGAGGUUGGAGGGCAUUUCUGUGCCUAAUAAGGAACUUAUAUUUUGGAGCUGAAAUGGAGACGGUGAGGUCUAAAUAUUUAUGUCAAGUGUUGAGCACAUCACAACUGCAAGUGGAGAUGUCAAUUAAUGGGUUACACACUCAGAAUCUUUUCGAAGUGAACUGUGCACAAAGGUCUCUUCAAUACUUUUGCUACGGUAUACAUCGAAAGGAACUAGGAGGUAGUCUGAGGAAAUGGCACAUAUGAUGUUAUAUAUCCCCUGCCAUGAAAUUAAAUUAGGAAUGAAAAGUUAAGAACAAAGCACUUUCUUGUUUGAAAUGUUGGGUAAAGGUUCUCUCAAGGUGUCUGACUUAUCCACAUGGCCUUAUUAAUCAUGGUCAUCUAGCUCAUGAUUGCAGACAUAUGUAAACAGUAUAUAUCCCAUAAAAUCAUCACCACGUAUCAUAUUUUGCACAUGCAGGCAUGUGCAUGCUAGACAGGUUUACAUAUUGCACACUGAUUCAGAAUAUUUUCUUUUGCUGAAAAUACACAUGGCUUCUGAGCUACAAUUCCUCGGCAUGACUGGCUACUUCCAAGUGUAAGUAAUUAGUCCGACCGCCAUUUAUCAGUUCAAACUAUGGGCCCCAGAGGACAAAGUUACGCUAUGAAUAUAUUUAAAAUACGCUCAUACAUGAGCCCGGAUUUUAUUCCUGACUGAGGCCCAAAAAGCUGUCGGCUUGCCUCUGAUCGCAAGCAAGAUUACUGCUUUAUAUUACUUAAAAUUUGCAUAUUUUUUUGAAUGGUCCAUUCCAUUUAAUAUGUGCACUCCCACCCCUAUUGAGGGGUCUGGAAAUCCAAUGGGGGAGGAGGGGGUCUUCAUCUUAAAUUUUCUUGCUAAUUUGAGAGAUCUUUUUUAAAAAUGACAAAAAUUAGGUGUUUUAGUGAUAUCCAAGGGGGAAAAGCGAUAUCGUAAAGGGUUUAGUAAGAUAUCCUAUGGGGUAACUUCCACAAAUUGCAUCCAAGGGGGUUCAAAAAUUUUUAUAUCUUAAGGGGAUUAUGAAGGGACCCCUCAAUAGAGGGGGGGGGGGGGUUUGUGCCUAUAAUAAAUGCAAUGGCCCAUUAAUAUAAAUAUGCAACUGCAGUUUAGUAUUUUGUGUCUUAAAUUAAAAAUAUAUGACCAGUGCCGGAUUAACCUUUCCAGGGUCGGGGGCAAAAAACUAUUUUAAGGGCCGGUCACAAAAUGCGAAUUCGCCUGUUGCGAUGAAAAAGUCCGAUUUCUCUGGCUGUGUGAGCGGUACUUUCAACAAUUAACGUUUAAAAUUAUAUAAAUAGAGGUUUACAGUAAUAAACAACCAAUACAUGAUAAACAUUGCUGGCAAUGCAUUAGCCUACGAACAGGCGUUUAUUUAGGAGACCCCCGAUGGGAAUAAACUCGGGGGUCUCCUAAAUAAACGCCUGUUCGCAGGCUGGCAAUGCAUGUGCCAUUCCAUGCAAGACACACGCAACACGCAAAAUAAACUUCGACAGUCGGAAAACUGUCUUCGGAAGCUGUUUCCGAAGGCACCUCCUUUUGCUGGAUGUCCGAGUGCGUAUUCUUACCAACCCUGGUAAAUAAUGCUUUUCGAAAGAAUGAUUCGGCAAACUUGGUUUCAAAAUCGAUGAAAUAGCUACUCCAAAUAUCGUCCGCAGAAAGCUAAAGAAGCAGAAUAUUUUAUGUUUAACUCUGAAAGGUAGGAAUCCUUUGUUUUACUGUGUAAAAUAUAUUUACGGAAAAUUUAAAACUUACUUAAAACUACCAAACAUUAUCUUCAAACUUUACCUGUCUAAUUUAGCAAAUAAACUAUCCCGAUUGCUGGCAUAAUGAUAAACCUUGCCGUAAUAUUAUUUUGAAACUAUUUUGUUUUGUAUCCUAUAUAUCUCAGAUUGUACGGUGGUUUUUCUUUCGAUAUGUCAUGUUUUCAUUGUGCUGUACGGUGCCAGUCACGCUGUAUUGUGUUUUCCAAACUUGUAAAAGUGAAAAGUGUAUUAAAACUUUAUUCCGAGCAAUAGUUUUGCAUCUCAUUUUUACCAAUUUUCUCAACCUUUUCCAGAACAAAGCUGACCAGAAACUAUUUUUUAAUUUUAAGCCUGGUAAAAAAGGCAUUCUGUCAUUUUGUUUUAUAUUCUCAUUUCUCAGCAGAGAUUCAUUGAGAUAAACAACUUUGUAGGCUAAUAAACAAUAAAGUCACACAGGAAGCCAUUUUGAAAGCGUGUG
rnacentral:lncRNA from 1 species